CAGCAGCCGCGGUAAUACGUAGGUGGCAAGCGUUGUCCGGAUUUAUUGGGCGUAAAGCGAGCGCAGGCGGUUAGAUAAGUCUGAAGUUAAAGGCCGUGGCUUAACCAUAGUACGCUUUGGAAACUGUUUAACUUGAGUGCAAGAGGGGAGAGUGGAAUUCCAUGUGUAGCGGUGAAAUGCGUAGAUAUAUGGAGGAACACCGAUGGCGAAAGCGGCUCUCUGGCUUGUAACUGACGCUGAGGCUCGAAAGCGUGGGGAGCGAACAGGAUUAGAUACCCGAGUAGUCCCUGUCUCUUAUACA
rnacentral:rRNA from 1 species